GGAUUUUGGGGAUAAUUUGGGGGUUUUUGGUGCCUCCAGGACCAUCUGCUCCUCCCAGCCCGGAGCCACAACAAAACCUCGAGGCCCAAAAUGUCCCUGGUGAUGCCAGCGGCGGCUCUCAACGAGUCGCUGCGCGGCCCCCAGCCCAUGAUGCAGGUGGACUGCGAGGUCAUGGACACGCGUGUCAUCCACGUGCGCCGCCCGGCCACGCCCCCCGCGCGGGCCACGCCCCCCGCGCGGGCCACGCCCACCCGCAGAGCCCGCCCAAUCAGCCUGGGGGGAGACGGCGCCUGAGCCACGCCCACUUCCGGGACAAGACACGCCCCCUUCGCAAAGCAAGCAGGAUGAGGCCACGCCCACCCGGUGGGAUCGAGAGUUUAAGCCACGCCCCCUUUAAAAAAGUUGUUUAGGCCACGCCCCUUAAAACCCAAAUAUUUGAGGCCACGCCCCCUUAAGCCCCAAAUAUCAGAGGCCACGCCCCCUCUAAAACUCGUGUUUGAGGCCACGCCCCUUUUUAACUACAUGCUUGAGGCCACGCCCACCCGGUGGGAUUGAGACUUUAAGCCACGCCCCCUCUGAAACAAUGUGUUUUAGGCCACGCCCCCUUUAAAGCUACAUGUUUGAGGCCACGCCCACUCAGUGAGAUCGAGUUUAAGCCACGCCCCCUUUAAAGCAAUGUGUCUGAAGCCACACCCCCUUAAAACCCAAAUGUUUUAAGCCACGCCCCCUUCACACCCGUGUGUCUGAGGCCACGCCCCUCAACAGGAUUGCGUUUAAGCCCCGCCCCUUUUAAAGCCAGGAGCUUGAGGCCACGCCCCUUCAUUAAAUUGAGAUUGAGCCACGCCCCCUUCACACCCAUGUGGUUGAGGCCACGCCCCCUUAUAAAUGUUUGCGUUGCGAGGCCACGCCCACUUGGAAUCAAGUGUUUAAGCCACACCCCUUUUGAAAGGAGUCUGAGGCCACGCCCCUUAGAAUCAAUUUUAUUUGAAGCCACGCCCAUUUAAAUCUGCAUGUCUGAGGCCACGCCCCCUUAUUUAAAAGCGGAUUUCUUUAGGCCACGCCCCCUGCCUAAAAAGCAUUGUUCAGGGCCUUGCCCUUCUAGUAAUUUGCAUAUUUAAGCCACACCCUUUAAAUAGGUUUUCUGUCAUAAUAAUCUUUAAGCCCCGCCCAGAUUUGCAUUAGGCCACGCCCCCUAUUAAAACGGCAAUAUUGAGGCCACGCCCCUCAAGGGAAUUGAGCCAAGCCACGCCUACUGUGAAGCCCCACCUCCUUUGCAUAUGUGGGCGUGGUUAGUUGUGAGGCCACGCCUCUUCUUAAAGGGGCGGUGCCUUUUUCUGCCCCGCCCCCAGCAGCGUUUUUUACCCAAGUCAAUAAAAAAUUGGGGGAAAAUCCCAAAAAAUAUUUAAAAAAA